UCACAAAUUUGCUCCAUCCGGUAACCAAUUGUGAUCAGUAUGUGUGGAAAACGUUCGCCAUCCACUACAGUAGUGGACGACCACCCGAAAAGUUUCCCACUGCUGACUCCUUGAUAAAAUCUAGGCUACUAUUUGACUUCAACCAAUAUAUGUUUAGAUUGGCUUGUGGCUGGACUUCGGUGCAUAAGGUCAUCGAACAUGUUUGCGAAAAUCAUCGCUUCUCUCUAGCCAAUGGAAACCUUUGCUUCGUGGCUUGGGGACCAAUGCAAGUACUAAUGAGGAGACUAAAUUUUACAUAUUCCGAAAAUAGCAACCAGUCCAACAAUCGCUCAGAACUUGGUGUUGCGCGAUACAUGUGGAAAUUUACACCCGGACUGAGAAUCCAUCUCGAGGAAACUAUUCGCCAUAAUAUUCUCUAUUGCCAAAAAAAUCCAAUCUUCUUAUCAUUAAAGAUUUCGCGUUUCGUUUUUCACUACUAUUGACACUUGGGCAUGGAUGGGAUUCAUGACCGUCUCGUUUUUCUUAGGAUUAACUGAGCUAGGUGGAUAUACAGAUAUUGCCGUGACAUUCCUCAAGGUAUCAUUACCCAACAGGACAUCCCUCACAUCCUUUGGGGUGCUCUGUAUAGUGACAAUGGUUGCCAUCAGCUCAUCCUAUGACGCCAUUAUCACAACCGACAUAAUCGCACCUCCUGAGAAAUAUGUCAUUGCAAGAAUAUUAUUUGGGAUUUCAAAUAUUUUGGUUCAGAAGGAUUAUACCGUACUUUACAAGGGAUGAGUUCCAACGGACUUUACCAACUAUAUAUAGAGUUUUGGAAAUUUGCCAACGCACGUGGUGAGAGAAAUCAAACUGCCCUUAUACCCAAAGAUAAUUUAGGUUUGGAAAAUCUUGUAGUUGGCUUUCAAUUAUACUUCAUUUUAGGUGGGUUUGCAGUUCUUAGUUUCUUUUAAGAAAUCGUCGUGCAGAAGUUUAACAUCGACGAUAAGAUUUCAUUUGUGCUGUUGAAAUCAAAAUUUCAAUUCUAUCGCGUGGCUGCUAUGAUUUGCACUGUUUUGUCUAAACUGAAAAAUAUGUGUCAUGCAGUCAUCAUGAAGUUAAGAAAAUUAAUUUAUAUGGUAAAUUAUUUGUUUCAUAAUUACAUAGUUAGUUACAAUGUUAAGUUGUUUUAGUAGCAAGCAUGGCAUUAUAUUUACAUAUAUAGGGACACUUAUGUACUGCCUUGAUUUAAUCAGUAUGGUCGUGUAAAAUUUAAAAUGUGGCCCGUCUUGAAGACGGGCUUAUAGGCGACUUGUUUAAUAUAAACUACAGACUACAGGUUCUUUUUGCAAAGGUAAGAUUACCUUUUAGAGUAAAGUUUUUUAUGUAUUAAGUAUUUUAUAAUAAUAAUUGUAU